ensembl:lncRNA
GCUUAUAUAGUAACUUAUUUUAACUAUUACAAUAUCAUCACAACUCAAAGUUUUUCAAUCUCAAAACCAGCUUUGCUAGGAGUUUCUAUGACUAGUAUGCUUUUUUUAAAAUUUUUUUUUAUUAUUAUACUUUAAGUUCUAGGGUACAUGUGCAUAACGUGCAGGUUUGUUACAUAUGUAUACUUGUGCUAUGUUGGCGUGCUGCACCCAUCAACUCGUCAGCACCCAUCAACUCAUCAUUUACAUCAGUUAUAACUCCCAAUGCAAUCCCUCCCCCCUCCCCCCUCCCCAUGAUAGGCCCCGGUGUGUGAUGUUCCCCUUUCCGAGUCCAAGUGAUCUCAUCGUUCAGUUCCCACCUAUGAGUGAGAACAUGCGGUGUUUGGUUUUCUGUUCUUGCGAUAGUUUGCUGAGAAUGAUGGUUUCCAGCUGCAUCCAUGUCCCGACAAAGGACACAAACUCAUCCUUUUUUAUGGCUGCAUAGUAUUCCAUGGUGUAUAUGUGCCACAUUUUCUUAAUCCAGUCUGUGACUGAUGGACAUUUGGGUUGAUUCCAAGUCUUUGCUAUUGUGAAUAGUGCCGCAAUAAACAUAUGUGUGCAUGUGUCUUUAUAGCAGCAUGAUUUAUAAUCCUUUGGGUAUAUACCCAGUAAUGGGAUGGCUGGGUCAUAUGGUACUUCUAGUUCUAGAUCCUUGAGGAAUCGCCAUACUGUUUUCCAUAAUGGUUGAACUAGUUUACCAUCCCACCAACAGUGUAAAAGUGUUCCUAUUUCUCCACAUCCUCCCCAGCACCUGUUGUUUCCUGACUUUUUAAUGAUUGCCAUUCUAACUGGUGUGAGAUGGUAUCUCAUUGUGGUUUUGAUUUGCAUUUCUCUGAUGGCCAGAGUUUGUGUCCUUUGUAGGGACAUGGAUGCAGCUGGAAACCAUCAUUCUCAGCAAACUAUCACAAGAACAGAAAACCAAACACCACAUGUUCUCACUCAUAGGUGGGAACUGAACAAUGAGAUCACUUGGACUCGGGAAGGGGAACAUCACACACUGGGGCCUAUCAUGGGGAGGGGGGAGUGGGGAGGGAUUGCAUUGGGAGUUAUACCUGAUGUAAAUGACGAGUUCGUGAGUGCUGACAAGUUGAUGGGUGCAGCACACCAACAUGGCACAAGUAUACAUAUGUAACAAACCUGCACGUUAUGCACAUGUACCCUACAACUUAAAGUAUAAUAAUAAUAAAUUAAUUUAAAAAAAUAAAAAAAAAAAGAACAUAAUUGUUCUAGACUUUAAUUGCUAGGCAGAAUUGCUCGAUCCAACUGGGAGGAGUGUGUGUAGUUGUCAGUACCUCCUGCUGGAUCAAUGUCUCAAGAAUUAUAAAGAUAAGUCCAAGAGAUUUUCCAGUGUGCAGAUCUACUUGCUGCAGACAGUGAGACCAUUAGAAGAAUCAUUUAUUGAUCACUUUAGCCACUUUUUACCUGAAUCACUGGAAUCCUGAGCUAUUAACUCUUUCAGGCAGUGAAUUUGACCGAUUGGAAAAUGUAAUCUAACAAUUUAAGUAAUUAUUGAUAGAUGAGACUUAUUAUUUCCAUUUUGUUGUUUUUGGCUGUUUAUUAUAGUUUUUGUACUUCUU